rnacentral:rRNA from 1 species
GAGACAGCAGUCGCCGCGGUAAUACGGAGGGAGCUAGCGUUGUUCGGAAUUACUGGGCGUAAAGCGCGCGUAGGCGGUUACUCAAGUCAGAGGUGAAAGCCCGGGGCUCAACCCCGGAACUGCCUUUGAAACUAGGUGACUAGAAUCUUGGAGAGGUCAGUGGAAUUCCGAGUGUAGAGGUGAAAUUCGUAGAUAUUCGGAAGAACACCAGUGGCGAAGGCGACUGACUGGACAAGUAUUGACGCUGAGGUGCGAAAGCGUGGGGAGCAAACAGGAUUAGAUACCCGUGUAGUCCCUGUCUCUUAUAC